rnacentral:rRNA from 1 species
UGGGGAAUAUUGGACAAUGGGCGAAAGCCUGAUCCAGCCAUGCCGCGUGUGUGAAGAAGGUCUUCGGAUUGUAAAGCACUUUAAGUUGGGAGGAAGGGCAGUAAGCGAAUACCUUGCUGUUUUGACGUUACCGACAGAAUAAGCACCGGCUAACUCUGUGCCAGCAGCCGCGGUAAUACAGUGGGUGCAAGCGUUAAUCGGCAUUACUGGGCGUAAAGCGCGCGUAGGUGGUUCGUUAAGUUGAAUGUGAAAGCCACGGGCUCAACCUGGGAACUGCAGCCAAAACCGGCGAGCUAGAGUAGGGCAGAGGGUGGUGGAAUUUCCUGUGUAGCGGUGAAAUGCGUAGAUAUAGGAAGGAAGACCAGUGGCGAAGGCGACAACCUGGGCUAAUACUGACACUGAGGUGCGAAAGCGUGGGGAGCAAACAGG